AGUGAACGCUGGCGGUAGGCCUAACACAUGCAAGUCGAACGGCAGCACAGUAAGAGCUUGCUCUUACGGGUGGCGAGUGGCGGACGGGUGAGGCAUACAUCGGAAUCUACUUUUUCGUGGGGGAUAACGUAGGGAAACUUACGCUAAUAGCGCAUACGACCUACGGGUGAAAGCAGGGGAUCUUCGGACCUUUCCCGUUUGUAUUAGCCGAUGUCGGAUUAGCUAGUUGGCGGGGUAAGGGACCACCAAGGCAACGAUACGUAGCUGAUCUGAGAGGAUGAUCAGCCACACUGGAACUGAGACACGGUCCAGACUCCUACGGGAGGCAGCAGUAGGGAAUAUUGGGCAAUGGGCGCAAGCCUGAUGCAGCAAUACCGCGUGGGUGAAGAAGGCCUUCGGGUCGUAAAGCCCUGUUAUUGGGAAAGAAAAGCAGCAGAUUAAUACCCCGCUGUUCUGACGGUACCCAAACAAUAAGCACCGGCUAACUUCGUG
rnacentral:rRNA from 1 species